UACAGAGGUCUCAAGCGUUGUUCGGAUUCAUUGGGCGUAAAGGGUGCGUAGGCGGCGCGGUAAGUCGGGUGUGAAAUCUCGGAGCUUAACUCCGAAACUGCAUUCGAUACUGCCGUGCUUGAGGACUGGAGAGGAGACUGGAAUUUACGGUGUAGCGGUGAAAUGCGUAGAUAUCGUAAGGAAGACCAGUGGACGAAGGCGG
rnacentral:rRNA from 1 species